GACUUUGAAUGUGCUUUUAUGGUCUCCUUGUGCUCCAUUCGUGAAAUAAUGCGUCUUUUGGAGCCUUGCUUAGCUUCUUCAAGCACAUUUUUCUUGUUUAGAGUGUGAUCCAUUUUAAAAUGCUUAUAAUUGUUUUAUAUGCCUUUUCAUAGUCGUUGGAGAUUUUGAGACAUAUCCUGUACAAGAAAGGAUUGUUCAUUACUGGUCACAUAGUUGCAUUGUAUUAAAUUCUUGCAUUUUGGCAGAGUUUUCCCUUGGACUGAGGUGUCGAGAAGAUAGGAGAAUCUAAAUAUUGCAGUUAAUUGAAAAUUGGGUUCAAAUUUGCUUAAAACAGACUGUUGACUAUAGUAAAUGCAUGGAUCGAAGG
rnacentral:misc_RNA from 1 species